rnacentral:lncRNA from 1 species
GGCCUCGGGGACACAGCUGGCCACCUACUCCUUUGAGGUAAUGUCAUUGUCCUUGUCAUUGUCACCUCCCUGUCACCUCCCUGUCACACACAGCUGGCCACCUACUCCUUUGAGGUACUGUCACCUGUGUGUCACCUGUGUGUCACCUCCCUGUCACCUGUGUGUCACCUCCCUGUCACCUGUGUGUCUGUCUGUCACAUCCCUGUCACAGCUGGCCACCUACUCCUUCGAGGUAAUGUCACUGUCACCUGUCAUUGUCACCUGUCAUUGUCACCUCUGUGUCUGUCACCUGUGUGUCACACACAGCUGGCCACCUACUCCUUUGAGGUACUGUCACUGUCACCUGUGUGUCACCUGUCAUUGUCACCUGUCAUUGUCACCUCUGUGUCACCUCUGUGUCUGUCACCUGUCUGUCACACACAGCUGGCCACCUACUCCUUCGAGGUACUGUCAUUGUCAGCUGUGUGUCACCUGUCAUUGUCACCUCCCUGUCACCUCUGUGUCACCUCUGUGUCUGUCUGUCACCUCCCUGUCACAGCUGGCCACCUACUCCUUCGAGGUAAUGUCAUUGUCACCUGUCAUUGUCACCUGUGUGUCACCUGUGUGUCUGUCACCUGUCUGUCACACACAGCUGGCCACCUACUCCUUCGAGGUAAUGUCACCUGUGUGUCACCUCUGUGUCACCUGUGUCACCUGUCAUCUGUCUGUCACCUCCCUGUCACAGCUGGCCACCUACUCCUUCGAGGUAAUGUCACUGUCACCUGUGUGUCUGUCACCUGUCUGUCACCUCUGUGUCACCUCCCUGUCACCUUCCCGUGACACACAGCUGGCCACGUAUUCCUUUGAGGUACUGUCAUUGUCAUUGUCACCUGUGUGUCACCUGUGUGUCUGUCUGUCACCUGUCUGUCACACACAGCUGGCCACCUACUCCUUCGAGGUACUGUCACCUGUGUGUCACCUCUGUGUCACCUAUGUGUCACCUGUGUCACCUGUCAUCUGUCUGUCACCUGUGUGUCACCUCCCUGUCACCUGUGUGUCUGUCUGUCACCUCCCUGUCACACCCAGCUGGCCACCUAUUCCUUUGAGGUACUGUCAUUGUCACCUGUCAUUGUCCUUGUCAUUGUCACCUCCCUGUCACCUGUGUGUCUGUCACCUGUGUGUCACACACAGCUGGCCACCUACUCCUUCGAGGUAAUGUCACCUGUGUGUCACCCGUGUGUCACCUGUCUGUCACCUGUGUCACAUCUUUGUGACCUCCAGC